rnacentral:ncRNA from 2 species
UACCGCUGGGGGCGCCAGAUGGCUGAGAUGGACGCGCACGCGUCCGGUCCCUUCGAACCUGAAGUGGAUAAUCCCACCGUAGGGAAGCGA